GUGAAGGCAAUUCACUGUGUGACAGGAAGCCUGGCUCCAUUCUUCUUAGGCCUCAUUUAAGGGCCGACUGCCACUGAGGGAGGAUCUGUUUCUGGAAAUCUCUCCUUGAUGGAUGUUUUUUCCUGUGAACCCUGAGUCUUCUGUUGUGGGUGUCCAGAACUAUGCGUGAAUGGUACUUGGAGGAACUCUGAGGUAGUUCCUGGCGCUCAGAUUUGAAUGCAAUUGCAGCAUUUCUGUUCUUCCGAGGCUUUUGAUCUUCUCCUGGUUAGUUUUUUCCAUGCGGCAUCAUGAGAUUUAUCAGUAUCGCUGUAGAGCAGCAUGUGGACAAGAGCCGAAGUUCCUAGGUGACAUCAAAACCCCGGUGUUAGCUGCUUUUCUCUGUGGCAUUAGUAGCAAUAAGAAGACAGGAGGCCUCCAGCUAGUAGUAUAUGCUGACACUGACUCCAUCAGGCCCCGGAUGCAGUUAUUUGUGACAAACCUGUCACAAAUAAGUCACCUGUCUCAAGAAGUUUCAAGCAAGGGAAGCGGCUCUGUGCAGUAACUUCGGUACUCAGUGCUCACAAGGCAGUGGCUCCCCUGGAAUGGGGCUGGGAUUGCCAAGACUACAGGGUUUCUACUGAGCUGGUAACUGGGCCGUUUGCCAGGCACCCUGCUGCGCAAGUGAAGCUGGAGUGGCCCAAGGCUCCUUCGAGUGUCAGAUCAGUUGUUGAAUGAUGACCCUCUAUCAAAAAGCCUCGAGGCUUCCUGUGCCACUCCCUGUGGGUCCGAGGAUCCCGGCUUCAGAGCUGCAGCCUCCAAUCUGGAACGUCUGUGCUGAAGCCCUCUCUGUGGUGCUCGAGAAUUUGAAAGGUGCAUCUCUGGAUUCACAGUGGAAACCAAGGGCUUGUACUCCUUGCCCCAGCCUAUGGUACUCACAAAUUGUACUUGGAUGGACAGUCACUCUCAGUGAUGUUUCCUCUUUACAAAUGUAGAUGAGCUAUUUCCAUAGGAUCUCAUGGGAUCUGUAUGUGUGGAAUAAUGUACUUUAGCAAAGCUAAAUCUGUCCAGGCAUCCCCCAUAAAACCCUGAAAGAAGAUAGGGCAGCCAGCGCUGCGGAGUCCUUCUCUGCAUGUCAGAGGACAUGCGGGAUGCUGUUGAUGUGCACGCAGCACGUUCGUGUGAGAAUGAAGAAUGCGGUACGUGGAGCUGUACACUGUGGUGCAGGAGAAUACAGAAUAGUUUCAGUUCUUAUGGUGUGGUGCAAGAAGACUCAUCUUAAGAAGCAAGAGAAACGUUAAAUAAAAUGCUUAAAGAGGUGUGGAAUUUUCCGAAGUUAUUUACAGUAUUAAACUUGUUUAUUGUAGAAAUGAUUCUAAUGGCCUGUAAAUAUCUGUUUUUGUAAUAAAUACGUGCAUGGGAAAAAUU